UACGUAGGGUGCGAGCGUUGUCCGGAAUUACUGGGCGUAAAGAGCUCGUAGGUGGUUUGUCGCGAUUGUUCGUGAAACUCACAGCUUAACUGUGGGCGUGCGGGCGAUACGGUCGAACUGGAGCCAGUAGGGGAUGCGGAAUUCGGGUGUAGUGGUGGAAUGCGUAGGAGAUCCGGAGAACACCAGCGGCGAAGGCGGCAUCCUGGACUUGGUCCUGAACACUCAGGACGCGGAAAGCGAU
rnacentral:rRNA from 1 species